rnacentral:tmRNA from 1 species
GGGGGUGUUCCGGAUUCGACCCUUGGUUGGAGUGCGCGGCUGCCUUUGGAGAGUCGGGGGACUCUCUUUAAUCCACCCUCGAAAAAACAAACGGCAACAACGAAGAAAUGCUCAUGGCGGCUUAAUGCCCGUCACGUUCUCACUCUGACUCCUGCUAGGGGCUGAGAACGACGACAGCAGGAAUAGCGGUGAGGGCCAUCGUGACCUCGCCGCCGUAUCUUCAACCACGGUUGGCUGGUCGGGGAGCGCGCGUUGAAGCGCCCCGGUCGGCGAGAUCAAACCAACGCUAUAAAGGUAGAUGCCGUGCGCGAAGGCCCGGGGCACAGGGGUUCAACUCCCCUCACCUCCACCA